AACGAACGCUGGCGGCAUGCCUAACACAUGCAGGUCGAACGAGACCUUCGGGUCUAGUGGCGCACGGGUGCGUAACGCGUGGGAACCUGCCCUUAGGUUCGGAAUAACUCCCCGAAAGGGGUGCUAAUACCGGAUAAUGUCUUCGGACCAAAGAUUUAUCGCCUUUGGAUGGGCCCGCGUUGGAUUAGCUAGUUGGUAGGGUAAAAGCCUACCAAGGCGACGAUCCAUAGCUGGUCUGAGAGGAUGAUCAGCCACACUGGGACUGAGACACGGCCCAGACUCCUAAGGGAAGGAGCAGGGGGGGAAAAUGGAACAAGGGGGGAAGGCUGAAUCAGCCAAGGCGGGGGAGGGAAUAAGGCCUUAGGGUUGUAAAGCUCUUUUACCCGGGAUGAUAAUGACAGUACCGGGAGAAUAAGCUCCGGCUAACUCCGUG
rnacentral:rRNA from 1 species